UCCAGGGUAGCCUAGUGGACAUGGCACCUGCCCGGUAAGCAGAAGGUUGUGGGUUUUUAUUCCCGCCCCUGGAC
rnacentral:tRNA from 1 species